rnacentral:rRNA from 1 species
UACGGGGGGGGCAAGCGUUGUUCGGAAUUACUGGGCGUAAAGGGCUCGUAGGCGGCCAACUAAGUCGGAUGUGAAAUCCCCAGGCUCAACUUGGGAACUGCAUCCGAUACUGGAUGGCUUGAAUUCGGGAGAGGGAUGCAGAAUUCCAGGUGUAGCGGUGAAAUGCGUAGAUAUCUGGAGGAAUACCGGUGGCGAAGGCGGCAUCCUGGACCGACAUUGACGCUGAGGAGCGAAAGCUAGGGGAGCAAACGGG